rfam:Chlorocebus sabaeus isolate 1994-021 chromosome 3, whole genome shotgun sequence.
GUCUUUUAUAUUGUACAAACCCUACAGUACAACUCAAGCACCUUUACAUAAAUAUGCUAUGUAAUUCGUGCAUUACUGCUAGCCAACAUGUAUAAUAUAUA